rnacentral:rRNA from 1 species
AACGCGAAGAACCUUACCAAGGUUUGACAUCCCUCUGAAAGGUGUAGAGAUGCAUCCGGCUCCUUCGGGAGACAAUGGAGACAGGUGGUGCAUGGUUGUCGUCAGCUCGUGUCGUGAGAUGUUGGGUUAAGUCCCGCAACGAGCGCAACCCUUAUCCUUAGUAGCCAGCGGUCCGGCCGGGCACUCUAGGGAGACUGCCGGGGAUAACCCGGAGGAAGGCGGGGAUGACGUCAAAUCAUCAUGCCCCUUAUGAUCUGGGCUACACACGUGCUACAAUGGCGGCCACAAAGAGAAGCGAACCCGCGAGGGGGAGCAAAUCCCAAAAAAGCCGUCCCAGUUCGGAUUGUAGUCUGCAACUCGACUGCAUGAAGCUGGAAUCGCUAGUAAUCGCGAAUCAGAAUGUCGCGGUGAAUACGUUCCCGGGUCUUGUACACACCG